GACGAACGCUGGCGGCGUGCUUAACACAUGCAAGUCGAACGGAAAGGCCCUGCUUUUGUGGGGUGCUCGAGUGGCGAACGGGUGAGUAACACGUGAGUAACCUGCCCUUGACUUUGGGAUAACUUCAGGAAACUGGGGCUAAUACCGGAUAGGAGCUCCCGCUGCAUGGUGGGGGUUGGAAAGUUUCGGCGGUUGGGGAUGGACUCGCGGCUUAUCAGCUUGUUGGUGGGGUAGUGGCUUACCAAGGCUUUGACUGGUAGCCGGCCUGAGAGGGUGACCGGCCACAUUGGGACUGAGAUACGGCCCAGACUCCUACGGGAGGCAGCAGUGGGGAAUAUUGCACAAUGGGCGGAAGCCUGAUGCAGCAACGCCGCGUGCGGGAUGACGGCCUUCGGGUUGUAAACCGCUUUCGCCUGUGACGAAGCGUGAGUGACGGUAAUGGGUAAAGAAGCACCGGCUAACUACGUG
rnacentral:rRNA from 1 species